ACGACCUUACUUGAACAGUAUAUGUUCUAUAGGAUCGUACUACUGUGUCCUUGUAUUCUAAGGAGACAUGAACCUAGAUCUGUUUCCUUGUAUUCUAAGGAUACAGGAACCUAGAUCUGGUGGAUGAAUCAUGACCGUGCGAUUAGAGCGUGAUUAACGGUUCUGUGAUGGAAGCUUCAGUGAGCAUUAGUGAGCAUUAGUGAGCAUCAGUGAGCAUUGUAGUUAGUAGUAGAGGAUUGUUCUCUGACAAAUU
rnacentral:snoRNA from 1 species